rnacentral:lncRNA from 1 species
AGGUAAUCCUACCCUCCUCUCCAAGACUCACCUGUAGUAUAUACCAGGUAAAUCUUACCCCUCCAAGACUCACCUGUAGUAUAUACCAGGUAAUCCUACCCUCCUCUCCAAGACUCACCUAUAGUAUAUACCAGGUAAUCCUACCCUCCUCUCCAAGACUCACUUGUAUAUACCAGGUAACCCUGCCCUCCUCUCCAAGACUCACCUGUAGUAUAUACCAGGUAAUCCUACCCCUCCUCUCCAAGACUCACCUGUACUGUAUACCAGGUAAUCCUACCCCUCCUCUCCAAGACUCACCUGUACUGUAUGCCAUGUAAUCCUACCCCUCCUCUCCAAGACUCACCUAUAGUAUAUACCAAGUAAUCCUACACCUCCUCCAAGACUCACCUGUAGUAUAUACCAGGUAAUCCUACCCCUCCUCCAAGACUCACCUGUAGUAUAUACCAAGUAAUCCUAACCCUCCUCUCCAAGACUCACCUGUAGUAUAUACCAGGUAAUCCUACCCUCCUCUCCAAGACUCACCUGUAGUAUAUACCAGGUAAUCCUACCCUCCUCUCCAAGACUCACCUGUAGUAUAUACCAGGUAACCCUGCCCUCCUCUCCAAGACUCACCUGUAGUAUACACCAGGUAAUCCUACCCCACCUCUCCAAGACUCACCUGUAGUAUAUACCAGGUAAUCCUACACUCCUCUCCAAGACACACCUGUAUUAUAUACCAGGUAACCCUGCCCUCCUCUCCAAGACUCACCUGUAGUAUAUACCAGGUAACCCUGCCCUCCUCUCCAAGACUCACCUGUAGUAUAUACCAGGUAACCCUGCCCUCCUCUCCAAGACUCACCUGUAGUAUACACCAGGUAACCCUGCCCUCCUCUCCAAGACUGUUUGCCAAGUGUGUACAAUGCAGUCAACAUUCAUUCAAGCAUCAAGUGGCUAAUUUGACAUCUAAGAUUAGUAGCCACAACAAUCAGACGUUGUAAUAAUUUUUGUAAACAAUAGAAUACCUAGAAUAGAUACUUUUCCUUUAAUUCGCAAGAGACUUAAUGUAUACAUUAACCUGUAUAUAGCCUGGUUAUUGAUAUUUUGUUGUGUUACUUUUGAUUUAAUUUUUUACUUUAGUUUAUUUAGUAAAUAUUUUCUUAACUCUUUCUUGAACUGCAUUGUUGGUUAAGGGCUUGUAAGUAAGCAUUUCACUUUAAGGCCUACACCUGUUGUAUUCGGCGCAUGUGACAAAUACAAUUUGAUUUGAUGUAUCUCAUAGGAUCUGAGCGAGUGAAACAGCGCCCCUCUGUCUCUACGUGUAGGCCAUCUAUCUGGUGCUGUCUGGUCCAAACCAGUAUGACAUUGUUGCCGGCUGUAGCGUUGAAGGCAAGGGAAGCCAGCGAGCAUCUGGCCUCCCUUGAUUAAAAAAAAGUAUAAAAAAUGUGCCAAUCAUUGUUGAGCUAAACUAAGCAAGCUCAAAUGUGAAUGGUCCUGGCACACCCCAAAAAAUUGUCAAGGGAAGCCAGCUUGGAUUUGGCGUCGUUCCGAUCAAAUCCCAUUGAGCGCAUACAUCAUUGACAGAAAAACUUAAAUUGUUGCAUCUUGUUGUGUUGUUGUCCUCCGAUGGCUAGCUAGCCAGCUAACUAAAAUUGGCCCUUUCCUAAAUGAACGAUGGAUGGAGAUAGGGAUCCAUACUGGCCAAUGAUUAUAACGGCGAUUCUGAUCCAACAAUUAAUUCAUACAUUGUUGUGCCCCUGGCUCGAGAGGAUGGAAAUUAGAUGUAGGAGGCUAAUGUUAACUAGCUAACAUUGCCCAUGAUUGGAAGUUAGGCUAGCCAGCAAUAAUUUUAACCAGGUAGCCUAGGACAACAAAUAAUAAAAGUGUGUACUGUAUGACAGAGUGAUAGACUGUUUCAUGAGUCAACAUGUUUUUCUACUUGCGCGAACGCACACACACACACACAUAAAUCAGAAACAUGGACACCCACAUCAUAUUUAGCUGAUGUUGAUUGGACUAAAUUGUUUUUGGUAUAUUUUAGUUGUUACUGUAUUAGACUAAGCCGAGGUGAUUUUGAUGAGGAUGAAAUGUUGAAGUUGAAAUGGUGCUGGAAUAGUGGAGGAAGCUCCUGUUUUCUUUGUGACUUGCGGUAACUCUCUAUGGUUCUAAAUCAAUAGUUGUUUAGUAGUCCGAAAAUGUCGUAAACAUUAACUUGCUUGACCAUGCUGUAGGUCAUGUAAUUUUCUGUUGCUGUACAUGCAAUAUGCUUUGUGGACUUCACUGGACAGAGGUUGCUAUCCAAGUGGCACAGCAGUCUAAGGCACUGCAUCUCAGUGCUAGAGGCAUCACUACAGACCCUGGUUCGAUCCCGGGCUGUAUCACAACUGGCCGUGAUCUGGAGUCCCAUACGGCGGCGCACAAUUGGCCCAGCGUCAUCUAGGUUACGGGAGGGUUUGGCCGGGGGGGUAAGCCGCCAUUGUAAAAUAAGAUUUUGUUCUGAACUAACUUGCCUACUUAAAUAAAAUAAAACAAAUGUAUAGUUGAAUUCAUUCUGUCGCUGUGUCUUCUUAUUGUCCUGGCCUUUAGGCCUAUAUCUCACGGUCGCACGGCAUGAGGGGAGGGGGAGUUAUGCCAGUGAUUGUACCACGCACCGCUACGGUUCUAAGCUGGAUUUUCCAGCAGGGCUAUCCAGCAAAUUCACACAGCCAUUGAAUUGUUUAUUUAUCUAGGCAAGUCAGCUAAGAACAAAUUCUUAUUUACAAUGACGGCCUACGCCGGCCAACCCAUAACCCGGACGACACUGGGCCAAUUGUGGGCCGCCCUAUGGGAGAGGAGUGGAUCAACAGCCUGAUCAACUCUCUGUGAAGAUGUGGCGGGCUGCAUGAGGCAAAUGGUGCUCACACCAGAUACGGACUGGUUUUCUGAUCCACACCCCUACCUUUUUUAGAAGGCGUCUGUGUCCAACAGAUGCAUAUCUGUAAUCCCAGUCAUGUGAAAUCCAUAGAUUAGGG